ACUGGUGGACCAAGACUGACUGAUGAAGCAAGACUUUGCUGAUACACUCCUUCCAGACAAAGGGGUGGAGACAGCAGCCCUCAUCGGAGAAACCACAGGGCUGACUAUACUAUUAAAAAUUU
ensembl:scaRNA